rnacentral:rRNA from 1 species
UACGGAGGGUGCAAGCGUUAUCCGGAUUCACUGGGCGUAAAGGGCGCGUAGGCGGCUUCUCAAGCGUGCGGUGAAAGCUCGGGGCUUAACUCCGAGUCUGCCGUGCGAACUGGGAGGCUUGAGUCUGGUAGAGGUCGAUGGAAUUCCGGGUGUAGCGGUGGAAUGCGUAGAGAUCCGGAAGAACACGGUGGCGAAGGCGGUCGACUGGGCCAGAACUGACGCUGAGGCGC